UGGGGAAUUUUGGACAAUGGGCGAAAGCCUGAUCCAGCAAUGCCGCGUGUGUGAAGAAGGCCUUCGGGUUGUAAAGCACUUUUGUCCGGAAAGAAAUCCUUGGCUCUAAUACAGUCGGGGGAUGACGGUACCGGAAGAAUAAGCACCGGCUAACUACGUGCCAGCAGCCGCGGUAAUACGUAGGGUGCAAGCGUUAAUCGGAAUUACUGGGCGUAAAGCGUGCGCAGGCGGUUUGCUAAGACCGAUGUGAAAUCCCGGGCUCAACCUGGGAACUGCAUUGGUGACUGGCAGGCUAGAGUAUGGCAGAGGGGGGUAGAAUUCCACGUGUAGCAGUGAAAUGCGUAGAGAUGUGGAGGAAUACCGAUGGCGAAGGCAGCCCCCUGGGCCAAUACUGACGCUCAUGCACGAAAGCGUGGGGAGCAAACAGGAUUAGAUACCCUGGUAGUCCACGCCCUAAAACGAUGUCAACUAGUUGUUGGGGAUUCAUUUCCUUAGUAACGUAGCUAACGCGUGAAGUUGACCGCCUGGGGAGUACGGUCGCAAGAUUAAAACUCAAAUGAAUUGACGGGGUCAUA
rnacentral:rRNA from 1 species